AUCCGGUUGAUCCUGCCGGACCUGACUGCUAUCGGAUUGAUACUAAGCCAUGUGAGUCAUUGUAGCAAUACAAGGCAGACGGCUCAGUAACACGUAGUCAAUCUACCCUAUGGACGGGGAUAACCUCGGGAAACUGAGGAUAACACCCGAUAGAUCAUUAAUCCUGGAACGGUUUAUGGUCCAAAUGAUUCGUCGCCGUAGGAUGGGACUGCGGCCUAUCAGCUUGUUGGUGAGGUAAUGGCCCACCAAGGCUAUUACAGGUACGGGCUCUGAGAGGAGAAGCCCGGAGAUGGGUACUGAGACACGGACCCAGGCCCUAUGGGGCGCAGCAGGCGAGAAACCUUUGCAAUGUGCGCAAGCACGACAAGGUUAAUCCGAGUGUUUCCUGCUAAAGGAAUCUUUUGUUAGUUGUAAAACCACUAUCGAAUAAGGGGUGGGCAAGUUCUGGUGUCAGCCGCCGCGGUAAAACCAGCACCUCAAGUGGUCAGGAGGAUUAUUGGGCCUAAAGCAUCCGUAGCCUGUUCUAUAAGUUUCCGGUUAAAUCCACUAGCUCAACUAAUGGGCUGCCGAAAAUACUGUAGAACUAGGGAGUGGGAGAGGUAGACGGUAUUCGGUAGGAAGGGGUAAAAUCCUUUGAUCUAUUGAGGACCACCUGUGGCGAAGGCGGUCUACCAGAACACGUUCGACGGUGAGGGAUGAAAGCUGGGGGAGCAAACCGGAUUAGAUACCCGGGUAGUCCCAGCUGUAAACGAUGCAGACUCGGUGAUGCGCUGGCUUGUGGCCAGUGCAGUGCCGCAGGGAAGCCGUUAAGUUUGCCGCCUGGGAAGUACGUACGCAAGUAUGAAACUUAAAGGAAUUGGCGGGGGAGCACCACAAGGGGUGAAGCCUGCGGUUCAAUUGGAGUCAACGCCAGAAAUCUU
rnacentral:rRNA from 1 species